UAUCCAAAAUUGAUCACCUCCAC
rnacentral:misc_RNA from 1 species